UACGGGGGGGGCAAGCGUUGUUCGGAAUUACUGGGCGUAAAGGGCUCGUAGGCGGCCCUCUCAGUCGGAUGUGAAAUCCCCAGGCUUAACCUGGGAACGGCAUCCGAUACUGGAGGGCUUGAAUUCGGGAGAGGGAUGCAGAAUUCCAGGUGUAGCGGUGAAAUGCGCAGAUAUCAGGAGGAACACCGGUGGCGAAGGCGGGACUCUGGGCCGAUACUGACGCUGAGGAGCGAAAGCGUGGGGAGCGAACAGG
rnacentral:rRNA from 1 species